GGGGGCGUACCGGCUUCGACGGGGAUGUCGAUGUUCGGACUGCGCGUCGUGGCGCCCAUGGCCACGUAAAAAUGGGCAAUCCUGCAACUGCGAACGAUAACAACGCUGUUGCUCUCGCUGCCUGAUUAAACCCAGGUAACGACGGUGCUCGCAGCUUCCGUCUGUAGCCGCGAAGCACCGCCACAAUCAGACUGGACCACCAGAACCGUCGGCGCAUGGAGGUCGAGACAAAGUCGACUCGUUGGGCUCGCAGGCCGGCCGCUGCCGGCGAGCCCGAGACUUUAAAUAGCGUGCCUACGCGCGUAGAUGUCUGUUCGGAAGCAUUUUCGGACGCGGGUUCGACUCCCGCCGCCUCCACCA
rnacentral:tmRNA from 1 species